rnacentral:rRNA from 1 species
CUAUGCGCCUUGCCAGCCCGCUCAGGUGUGCCAGCAGCCGCGGUAAUACGUGGGUGGCAAGCGUUGUCCGGAUUUACUGGGUGUAAAGGGCGUGUAGCCGGGCUGACAAGUCAGAUGUGAAAUCCGGGGGCUCAACCCCCGAACUGCAUUUGAAACUGUUGGUCUUGAGUAUCGGAGGGGCAGGCGGAAUUCCUAGUGUAGCGGUGAAAUGCGUAGAUAUUAGGAGGAACACCAGUGGCGAAGGCGGCCUGCUGGACGACAACUGACGGUGAGGCGCGAAAGCGUGGGGAGCAAACAGG